AGAAACACCCCGUGCUGAUGAAGGCCCUUCAGGUCCCCCACUUUCUCCAAAUGAAGAACAACAUCAUGGGAUCCAAGGGAGUGCUGUGCUUCACGAUUUGAAUGCGCAACUUUCAGAACUUAAGUCACAGAAUAAAGUAUUAACCGUGGAGAUGGACGCCAUCAAGUCACAGAUGUCGAGCCUCAACUCUGAUCAGG